UUGACCUCAAAUCAGGUAGGACUACCCGCUGAACUUAAGCAUAUCAAUAAGCGGAGGAAAAGAAACUAACAAGGAUUCCCCUAGUAACUGCGAGUGAACCGGGAAAAGCUCAAAUUUUGAAUCUGGCGGUCUUUAUGGCCGUCCGAGUUGUAAUCUAGAGAAGCGUCUUCCGCGCUGGACCGUGUAUAAGUUUCCUGGAAUGGAACGUCGUAGAGGGUGAGAAUCCCGUCUUUGACACGGACUGCCAGGGCUAUGUGAUGCGCUCUCGACGAGUCGAGUUGUUUGGGAAUGCAGCUCAAAUAGGGUGGUAAAUUCCAUCUAAAGCUAAAUACAGGCGAGAGACCGAUAGCGAACAAGUACCGUGAGGGAAAGAUGAAAAGAACUUUGGAAAGAGAGUUAAACAGUACGUGAAAUUGCUGAAAGGGAAACGCUUGAUGUCAGUCGCGUUCGUCGGGGAUCAGCCUUGCUCUUUUGCUCGGUGUACUUCCUGGCGGACGGGUCAGCAUCAGUUUUGUUCGUCGGAAAAUGGCUCGAGAAAUGUGGCACUCUUCGGGGUGUGUUAUAGACUCGGGUCGAAUACGACGUCCGGGACUGAGGAACUCAGCACGACCUUCGGGUUCGGGGCUUAGGCCCACGUUAACGUGCUUAGGAUGCUGGCAUAAUGGCCUUAAGCGACCCGUCUUGAAACACGGACCAAGGAGUCUAACUCGCAUGCGAGUGUUUGGGCGAUUAAAACCCGAGCGCGUAAUGAAAGUGAAAGUCGAGACCCCUGUCGUGGGGGGCAUCGACGCCCGGACCAGAGCUUCUGCGACGGAUCUGCGGUAGAGCAUGCGUGUUGGGACCCGAAAGAUGGUGAACUAUGCCUGAAUAGGGUGAAGCCAGAGGAAACUCUGGUGGAGGCUCGUAGCGAUUCUGACGUGCAAAUCGAUCGUCGAAUUUGG
rnacentral:rRNA from 1 species